UGUAUUUAAUUACAUGAAAUGCGUUAUCAUCUAGUAAAUAAAUACAAACAAUAGGUGUCCCCCCCCCCUUUCAGUAAUGUUGGAAAUAGAACCAACAUACCAAUAAAAUCAGACAUUAAACUACAGCAAUUGGCCCGCAGAGACCUCAGCUGCAAGACUGAAUGAGUGUUGUCGCCACCUCGUGGCAGGAACUGGAACAGGACCCGCCGGAGAAAACCGACAAUCGUGCUGCAUCCGAAGCUUGAGACCAAGAAGGAAAUCUGCGCCUGAGUUUGACAUCGACCCUGCAACUCCAGCACAGCCCAGAUAACUUUCUUUGUGCAUGACAGAGAUGGCAAGAAGAAAGCUGUGCAGUGUGGGAUAUGUACAGUAAAACGGAGGUCCGCCUGUCCAAUUCCUCUGCAGCAAUUCUCUGCAGCAUUCCUCUUCGUAUCCUUCCCUCUGUGAAUUUGGGUUGUUGAUGAUGAUGAUAAUAAUAGUUGAUAAAUAACUAGGUACUGUCCUGUCUUGGGGAUUAGGCCUAGUACAUUCCACAGCCAUGCCUGCAACUUUCGAUUUAUAGCUGUGGGCCUGAAGAUUAUAUAAAAGUGUUAGAAGAUGAGUUUGUGGAAUUGGAAAAGCAGUGCAUUACAUUGAUCCUUAAGAAAACCCAAGGGGGAAACGCUGAAGGAGACUUCCACUUUUCCCUUUUGUUUAUUAAGGAAUGUUUCAGUAUGGGAUCCGAAGACAAAGCAUUGUCCCAUUAGCCUUGCUGUGCUCCAAAUGACUAAACUUGCGGAAUGUGGGACUUGAUUGAUGUCUGGGAGCAGUGAAAAUUGCAGUUUUUGUCAGUCCAGUCAAUUCUAAGGAAGCACUGGGGUGAAACAGAGGAACUGAUGAAUUACUAUA